AUAAUAUUUUUUUCCUGUUGGUAGAACAAGGAUUAAAAUUUCUAGAUAAGUGAAAUAUAUAUCUAUAUAUGUAUAUUUAUAUAUAUAUUGAUAUUUAUAUGUAUCUUGUUUUAUACAUUCAAUGUACAUAAAAGGUCCACCCAAUACAAUUUUGCAUUUAGCUAUAUCAAAGUCUGUAUAUUAUUUAAAAACAGAAUUAUAUUUGCAAAAUGCAGGUUAAUACAGAAGAUUCGCCUUAAAAGUAUUUUUAACAAUGCUUUUUUUUUUGCACACUGUUAACUAAAAAGAGGUUGAUAUCCAGCUUUUAAAACUUUAACUACAAUGCAAGCAAUAUUUCAUUCUUCAAAGGGGCGGCAACCAUAAUUGACUAUAUAAAUAAGCAGAAAUAUUGUUUUUGUCACAGUGUAUAUAUUGUCUCCACAUAUUCCCUUUCACAUCAUAUUUUCCCCAAAAUCCCCUUACUGUCCAAUAUAGCUAAUUUAUAUUGAUCUACAUUGAACCAAAUAAAGUGAAAUUGCCUUUUGAUCCAUUAUGCAAGAAUUGCUGAAAGAAAAUAUUUUUACUGUUUAUUGCUAGGGUAAUACUUGUUACAAUGCUUCCUUUUAAAAGUGCCAUUUUAGAAGUAAAUUAUCACAGUGUACCUAGAGCAGGGGUAGGCAACCAUCGGCAUUCCAUAUGUUCUGAACUACAUCUUCCAUGAUGAUUUGCUAGCAUGAUGGCUACAAGAGCAUUACAAAAACAUCUGGAGUGCCGAAAUUUGUGACAAACUAGCUUCAUUUAUUGUGUUUUUUCUUUUUUUUCUUCACACUCAAUAGCUGAAAUAAACAUGUCCAUCAGAACAGCAGAUUUGUCAUUGAGCAGAUUUGUCUAACUGGUUUUGCAGUAAAAUACACAGUAUCUUUACAUGCAAAGAGUAGAGGAGAGCUAAGGCACUGAGUAACAACUUUCAAAAUCUAUACCACAGUAGAGAUAUUGGGGGAGAAAAUCCCUUCUUAUUAGUAAAGGUUUUGCUAAUUUUACCCAAGUAAACAAAACAGUAAAAAAAAUGUAAAGGACAUUGCUAUAACUGUAUAAUUUGGAUAUAUGCUAUUAAUAUUAUUGGUUGGUUAGCAGCAUCACUAUUCAUUGCUUAGUAAAUAUGUUAAUUUUACAUAAAUCUGAGCCCUCACUGCUGCAAUAAUGAAUGACUAUAGUUGGCUCUAUCAUACAGUCUAAGUCUAUGUUUGGGCCACUAGAGGUGCUUCCUUACAGUUUCUUGAUGUGCAUGGUCCUCAUCUAGAACAUUUACAGUAUUGUAUCAAUAGCUGUAAUAAGGGUCCUGAUAAACCUCAUUAAAAACAUUUUGUAGAAACAUUUGUUUUAGGUGGAUGCAAAAUAAGUCGUAGGAUAUCUAUGGAUUCCAUUCCUAGAAAUAAACUUAGUUCGGUUAAUCCCUUCAUUACCAAAAUCAUUUAUCCAUGAUAUGCUCCUACACUCUAAAAUAAUAAAAUACAAUUUUGACAACUGCAAGUGUAAUUUACCUUGCAAAUUAUCCACAAAGGCUUAGGAGGGGAAAGGACAGAUCACCUUGUUUUACCCACUGUCACUCAUUUAGUGUAGCACAGCAAGACCUGAUAUGUCAGUGCAGCUCCAGGCUCUGUGCAGGAGUGUAAGGGGAAUAAAUUUCAUAUCAAGCAUGAAUUUCAUUUUUUUUUUUUUUUCAAACAAGCAGGACAGCCAUCAAAACUAUUAUUCUGUUACAAACUUCCUGGCCAUGUCCCCUAAAACACACUCCCAGACAUUAAAAUAAACACACAUACAAAAAAAUGCAUUCCAGACACCGUCAAGGAUAAGUAUACACACAAACAGAAACACACAGGCGUAUCUUGCCAGAUACACAUUGCCAGAAAGACAUAUACACACACAAUUUCAAGCACAUACACAGAUACUAAAGCAGGAUGACACUCCUACAUGUUUUCAUUACAUCCAGGAGUGUGCUGGAGACUAUCAAUACAUCUCUGUAAGGGGCCUCCUUUGCUACGUCUGCAAUGCGGUCUGGUUAUAGGAAAUAUUUUGCCAACAGGAUUUCAGUGUCAUAGGUCCCAGUGCUAAGCCAGACCCCUUUAUAACACCAUCCGUAACGUUUUAGACCAGAGGACUAGCAGAAGUCAGGAGAAAAAAAUUAAAUCCUGUGAGGGGUUGUCCACAAACAAUUCCUCUCAGUUGACAUUUACCCAUUGCUAAAACUUAGUCAUAAUGCUGCUUUUGCAAGUCCACCUAACCACAACACUACAGUAAGAAAGCAGUUUUCUCAAGGAGUUGUGCACAGUGAUACACACAGGGUGGGAGGGGGACAAAAAAAGGCAAAAACGUGUGGAUUUAUUUGUGUGUCAGUGUAUGUGUGUUUGUGUGCUAAGACUUGUAUAUGUGCCUGUGUAUCAGUGUGUGUUACUAUGUAUGGUGUAUGUAUUAGCAAAAACAGGAGGUAACACAAUGUGCAGCUUAGUAGAUAAGGCCCGCUCGUGGAACCACACAUUUAUUCACAGAGUAUACGAAACCCAAGCAUUUCAGAAGUCCCUUCCUCAGUGUGUAAAUGCCCUGUAUGUGUGUCAGUUUAUGUGUCCAGAGGCAAUGUAGCUGCAAUGUGAGGGUAGCAUGGGCAAUAUGAUGGUAAUGUAGCAUAACAGUAUAACACUGUGCAAAGGUUGUAAGCAGUUGUUAAUAAAAUGAUGUAAAGUAAGACUGCUUUCAAAAAUAGAAAUGUUGAUAUUUUAUUUUGAUCAAUUAUGAAAAUGCAAAGUGAGUGAACAGAAGAAUAAUCUAGUUUAACCCCUUAACGACACAUGACGGUAAUAUUCCAUCAUGAUUCCCUUUUAUUCCAGAAGUUGUGUCCUUAAGGGGUUAAAGCAAUUUUUGGUGUGACAACCCACUGACUUCAAAACAGCAUCGAUUCGUCUAGGUACACUAGCAUAAAGUUAGGGAUUUUAUAGGUGGACCGGCCUCAAUUUAAUAUUGUUUGAUAAGCGUUCCAAAUGAUUUAAUAUUUUUGAAUAAACUUUUAAAGUUAUUAUUAUGAAUAUUAAAAUUUUGUAAUAUUUUGAUUUUUUUAAAUUUAUUUUCAACAUAUCAAAACAUAUAUUUUAAAAGCUUAUCAAAAUCAUGUGGAAAGCUUAUUAAAUCAAGGCCAAUAGUCAGGGGAAUUAUUAAAAUAUACUAAACAGGUGCUAAUGAUCAAUUCAAAGUAGGUUGAAACAAAAUCAUUAAGUGAAACUGAAACAGCUGUGUUGGAUGAAUAAAACUGGGUGAGAAUCAGCCAAACUGUGCUAACAAGGUGAGGUUGCCAAAGACAGUUUAAUGUCAAAAGUUAUACGCUAUGGCAAGACUGAGCACAGCAACAAGGCACAAGGUAACUAUACAGCAUCAUCAAGGUCUGUCGAAGGCAGCAAUUUCAAGGCAGAUGGUGAUUUCCAGAUGUGUUGUAAAAACUGUUCUAAAGAAACACAAACAAAUGGGCAAUGCUCAGGGCCAUAGUGGACAUUGAGUGCAGCAGAUAAAAUAAUUAUCAUGCUUACUUUCCUUCGAAAUUGAAAGAUGUCCAGUAGAGCCAUCAACUAAGAAUUGGCAGAAAAUGGUGGGACCUUUGUACACACAUCUACAACUUGGAGAAAUCUAGUCAGAAGUGGUCUUCAUGGAAGACAUGUGGUCAAAAAGUCAUACCUCCAACAUGGAAACAAGGCAGCUCAACAGUACAUGAAACACAGGAACUAGGGUGCCGAAAAAUGGCAGCUGGCGCGUUAAAAAAAAAAAAUAAAAAAAAAAAAUCGCACUGAGGCUACCUAAAUCCACAGAAGAGCUGUGGUUCAAUCUGCCCCUGAAGUUACUUACAAAACUGUGUGCAAGUGUACCAAAAAUAAUUUAUACUGUUUUAAAGGCAAAGGGUGGUCACACCAAAUCUUUUUUUUUUUUUUUACAUUUAUUUAGAUUUUAUUUUUAUUUAGAUUCUUCUAAUAAACUGAUGAUCUCAGCCAAUCCAAUGCUUUCCCAUAGCAAAACAUUAGCAGGUUAAUGCCCACGCGCGGCAAAACGCUGGAUCAAUGCAU